rnacentral:rRNA from 1 species
GACGAACGCUGGCGGCGUGCCUAAUACAUGCAAGUAGAACGCUGACGAGAGUAGCUUGCUCUUCUUGGAUGAGUUGCGAACGGGUGAGUAACGCGUAGGUAACCUGUCUUGUAGCGGGGGAUAAUUAUUGGAAACGAUAGCUAAGACCGCAUAAUAAUGGACGACACAUGUCAUUCAUUUGAAAUGGGCUAUUGCUCCACUACAAGAUGGACCUGCGUUGUAUUAGCUAGUAGGUGAGGUAAUUGCUCACCUAGGCGACGAUACAUAGCCGACCUGAGAGGGCUAUCGCCAUCGCUGGGACUAAGACACGGCCAAAAAACAUACGGAAGGAAGCAGAAGCGAAUCUUCAGAAAAGGGAGCAAUCCUGACCGUGCCACGCCGCGUGAGUGAAGAAGGUAUUCGGGUAGUACGGCUGUGUUAUAACUCAAGACUGGAUGUGUGAGUGGAAAGUUAAGACUGUGACGGUAGCGUACGAGAAAGGGACGGCUAACUACGUG